rnacentral:rRNA from 1 species
GACGAACGCUGGCGGCGUGCCUAAUACAUGCAAGUAGAACGCUGAAGGAGGAGCUUGCUUCUCCGGAUGAGUUGCGAACGGGUGAGUAACGCGUAGGUAACCUGCCUGGUAGCGGGGGAUAACUAUUGGAAACGAUAGCUAAUACCGCAUAAGAGUAGAUGUUGCAUGACAUUUGCUUAAAAGGUGCAAUUGCAUCACUACCAGAUGGACCUGCGUUGUAUUAGCUAGUUGGUGAGGUAACGGCUCACCAAGGCGAAGAUACAUAGCCGAACUGAGAAGGUGAUUGGCCCACCUGGGACUGAGAACCGGCCCCGACUCCUCCGGGAGGCAGCAGUAGGGGAUCUUCGGCAAUGGACGGAAGUCUGACCGAGCAACGCCGCGUGAGUGAAGAAGGUUUUCGGAUCGUAAAGCUCUGUUGUAAGAGAAGAACGAGUGUGAGAGUGGAAAGUUCACACUGUGACGGUAUCUUACCAGAAAGGGACGGCUAACUACGUG